rnacentral:rRNA from 1 species
GACGAACGCUGGCGGCGUGCUUAACACAUGCAAGUCGAACGGAAAGGCCCUGCUUGCAGGGUACUCGAGUGGCGAACGGGUGAGUAACACGUGGGUGAUCUGCCCUGCACUUCGGGAUAAGCCUGGGAAACUGGGUCUAAUACCGGAUAGGAGCCAUUUUUAGUGUGAUGGUUGGAAAGUUUUUUCGGUGUAGGAUGAGCUCGCGGCCUAUCAGCUUGUUGGUGGGGUAAUGGCCUACCAAGGCGGCGACGGGUAGCCGGCCUGAGAGGGUGGACGGCCACAUUGGGACUGGGAUACGGCCCAGACUCCUACGGGAGGCAGCAGUGGGGAAUAUUGCACAAUGGGCGCAAGCCUGAUGCAGCGACGCCGCGUGGGGGAUGACGGCCUUCGGGUUGUAAACUCCUUUCGCUAGGGACGAAGCUUUUUGUGACGGUACCUAGAUAAGAAGCACCGGCUAACUACGUG